rnacentral:tRNA from 1 species
GCAUUAGUAGUUCAGUGGCAGGAUUCUUGCCUUCCACGCAGGAGACUCGGGCUUGAUUCCCGGCCAAUGAA